rnacentral:rRNA from 1 species
GACGAACGCUGGCGGCGUGCUUAACACAUGCAAGUCGAACGGAAAGGCCUGCUUUCCCUUGUGGAUUGCGGGUACUCGAGUGGCGAACGGGUGAGUAACACGUGAGUGAUCUGCCCCCAACUUGGGUAUAAGCCUGGGAAACUGGGUCUAAUUCCCGAUAGGACUGCAGGGUGGUGCCUGUGGUGGAAAACGAUUUUCUAGUGGUUGGGGAUGAGCUCGCGGCCUAUCAGCUUGGUGGUGGGGUAAUGGCCUACCAAGGCGGCGACGGGUAGCCGGCCUGAGAGGGUGGACGGCCACAUUGGGACUGAGAUACGGCCCAGACUCCUACGGGAGGCAGCAGUGGGGAAUAUUGCACAAUGGGCGGAAGCCUGAUGCAGCGACGCCGCGUGGGGGAUGACGGCCUUCGGGUGGUAAACUCCUUUCGACCGCGAGGAAGCCACCUGGUUGGAAGGGUGGUGACGGUAGUGGUAGAAGAAGCACCGGCUAACUACGUG